GACUACCGUCAGUGCAAUGUCAUUUCCUACACUACAUGUUCUUCAUCUAUAACAGAACUUUACGAUCCGAAGACCUUCAUCGUUCACGCGGUAUUGCUCGGUCAGGCUUUCGCCCAUUGCCGAAAAAUUCCCU
rnacentral:rRNA from 1 species